rnacentral:lncRNA from 1 species
AAUAUGUGUUCUCCACUACACGGCUGUAGUGAACUGGGAGAAAUGCAGUUAUCCAUUCCUUGAGGAAUUCUGCUUGGAGAAGUGUUGCAUCAUCUUGGGCUUGUUCUGAUUUGGUGAUUGCAUAAAGCAAAGGGAUAAACUAGAUAACUACAAGGACUAUAUAUUUCCACACAGAUUUUACAGAUGACCUUAACCUCCUGUUCUCUACACAAAGGCAGA